AGAACGAACGCUGGCGGCGUGGAUAAGACAUGCAAGUCGAACGGGUUUAGUUUCGGAGCAAUUCGGAAUUUAGGCCAGUGGCGAACGGGUGCGUAACACGUGAGUCAUCUGCCUGAAAGUGGGGGAUAGCUCGCCGAAAGGCGAAUUAAUACCGCAUGUGGUUGUAAGACCAAAGCCGGGGCAACCUGGCGCUUUUAGAGGAACUCGCGGCCUAUCAGCUUGUUGGUGAGGUAACGGCUUACCAAGGCUUCGACGGGUAGCUGGUCUGAGAGGACGACCAGCCACACUGGAACUGAGACACGGUCCAGACACCUACGGGUGGCAGCAGUCGAGAAUUUUUUCUCAAUGGGGGAAACCCUGAAGGAGCGACGCCGCGUGGAGGAUGAAUGCUUUCGGGUUGUAAACUCCUGUCAUUUGGGAACAAGCCUUACGUUAACUGCGUGGAGGUCUGAUAGUACCGAAAGAGGAAGAGACGGCUAACUCUGCGCCAGCAGCCGCGGU
rnacentral:rRNA from 1 species